AACAACACUAUCGAUGAAUGAAUUCAUCUGCGAGAUGAUGUGUUUUACCUAGGACGAGGACAUAGCAUCAUAUUACUAGCCAUCGCCCGAAAUUAAUAGGAUAUCACGUCCUCAUCCUAGAUGAAACAACCACGUCAUCUCAUGGGUGAAUCCUUUUAUCGAUAAUGUGGUU
rfam:Oryza meridionalis cultivar OR44 (W2112) chromosome 2, whole genome shotgun sequence.